rnacentral:rRNA from 1 species
UACGAAGGGGGCUAGCGUUGCUCGGAAUCACUGGGCGUAAAGGGCGCGUAGGCGGCCAUUCAAGUCGGGGGUGAAAGCCUGUGGCUCAACCACAGAAUUGCCUUCGAUACUGUUUGGCUUGAGUUUGGUAGGGGUUGGUGGAACUGCGAGUGUAGAGGUGAAAUUCAUAGAUAUUCGCAAGAACACCAGUGGCGAAGGCGGCCAACUGGACCAAUACUGACGCUGAGGCGCGAAAGCGUGGGGAGCAAACAGG